AUUGAACGCUGGCGGAAUGCUUUACACAUGCAAGUCGAGCGGCAGCGCGGGGCAACCUGGCGGCGAGCGGCGAACGGGUGAGUAAUGCAUCGGAACGUACCCAUUUGUGGGGGAUAACGCACCGAAAGGUGUGCUAAUACCGCAUACGCCCUGAGGGGGAAAGUGGGGGAUCGCAAGACCUCACGUUAUUCGAGCGGCCGACGUCUGAUUAGCUAGUUGGUGGGGUAAUGGCUCACCAAGGCGACGAUCAGUAGCGGGUCUGAGAGGAUGAUCCGCCACACUGGGACUGAGACACGGCCCAGACUCCUACGGGAGGCAG
rnacentral:rRNA from 1 species